GACGAACGCUGGCGGCGUGCUUAACACAUGCAAGUCGAACGGAAAGGCCCUGCUUUUGUGGGGUGCUCGAGUGGCGAACGGGUGCGUAACACGUGAGUAACCUGCCCUAGACUUUGGGAUAACUUCAGGAAACUGGGGCUAAUACCGGAUAGGAGCUCCUGCUGCAUGGUGGGGGUUGGAAAGUUUCGGCGGUUGGGGAUGGACUCGCGGCUUAUCAGCUUGUUGGUGGGGUAGUGGCUUACCAAGGCUUUGACGGGUAGCCGGCCUGAGAGGGUGACCGGCCACAUUGGGACUGAGAUACGGACCAGAGUCCUACGGGAGGCAGCAGUGGGGAAUAUUGCACAAUGGGCGGAAGCCUGAUGCAGCAACGCCGCGUGCGGGAUGACGGCCUUCGGGUUGUAAACCGCUUUCGCCUGUGACGAAGCGUGAGUGACGGUAAUGGGUAAAGAAGCACCGGCUAACUACGUG
rnacentral:rRNA from 1 species